CCAAAUCCCAUCAUGUAAGGUUUUCCCAUAAAAUGCACAUCCUGACAGUAAAAAGAUGGAUGAAGACCGCAAGACAGAGACCAGGCCCUACACACGACAUCUCACCUCAGCCCUGCCGCUUGAGUGGAAACCUCAGAGUUAUUAAUAGGAAUGAGCUCCCUGAAUGGGGGUAACGCACACCCUGGCUAGUUACCGGUUUGGGAUAUAGAAUGGCCAUAUAAGGAUUAAUCGGUGUUUCCAUUAUAGGGUUCCACUUUCUUGGCUUUUCUUGUCGGGUGUCCCCCUUGCCUUCCCCCUUCUCCUUUCCGGCCCUCGCCUGCGCGAGGGAUUGUGGGCCAGCCCCCCAACGCCGCGGGGAGCACUGGGCGCCCAAUCCCCGCACACACCCACGCUUUCUCCGCGAGUCCAGUGUGAAGCAUGGUGGUUUUCGAGACCGUUGGUUCAGCGCCUACCUGGCUUAAGAAGUAGCUGGAAAAGAUGUCUAGGGCUGUUCAUCUUCCAGUCCCCUGUCCUGUUCAACUUGGUUCCUUAAGAAAUGACUCCUUGGAAGCUCAGCUUCAUGAGUAUGUCAAACAAGGGAACUAUGUGAAAGUGAAGAAGAUUCUUAAGAAAGGAAUUUAUGUUGAUGCAGUUAACUCCCUGGGCCAGACUGCACUUUUUGUUGCGGCAUUACUAGGCCUUACGAAGGUAGUUGAUGUUCUGGUGGAUUAUGGAUCAGAUCCAAAUCACCGCUGCUUUGAUGGGAGCACCCCUGUUCACGCAGCAGCAUUUUCAGGGAAUCAGUGGAUCCUCAGUAAACUGCUGGAUGCAGGGGGUGAUCUUCGACUCCACGACGAGAAGGGUCAAAAUCCGCAGACCUGGGCCCUGACAGCAGGGAAGGAGCGCAGCACCGUGAUGGUGGAGUUCAUGCAGCGCUGUGCCUCGCAUAUGCAGGCCAUCAUACAGGGCUUCUCCUGUGACCUCCUAAAGAAGAUUGACUCCCCUCAGCGGCUCAUCAGUGGCCCACCCCGGCUUGGUGGCCUCAUACAGGGAAACCCUAAUGGCUCUCCUAACCGACUGCUUAAAGCUGGAGUCAUUUCUGCACAAAAUAUCUACAGCUUUGGCUUUGGGAAGUUUUAUCUCACAGGGGGAGCACAGCUGGCCUACCUGGGAUCUCUUCCAGUAAUUGGAGAAAAGGAAGUGAUUCAAGCUGAUGAUGAGCCUACCUUCUCUUUCUUCAGUGGCCCCUACAUGGUCAUGACCAAUCUGGUGUGGAAUGGGAGCAGGGUCACAGUGAAGGAGCUGAAUCUCCCCACCCAUCCUCACUGCAGCAGGGUUCGGCUGGCUGACUUGUUAAUUGCAGAGCAGGAACACAGCAGUAAGCUGCGGCACCCGCACCUGCUACAGCUGAUGGCUGUGUGCCUGUCCCAAGACCUAGAGAAGACCCGCCUUGUUUACGAGCGCAUCACUGUCGGCACACUGUUUGGUGUCCUCCACGAACGGCGGUCCCAGUUCCCCGUGCUCCACAUGGAGGUGAUUGUGCAUCUGCUGCUCCAGAUCUCUGAUGCCCUGAGAUACUUGCAUUCCCGGGGGUUUAUCCACCGCUCCCUCAGCUCCUACGCCAUCCACAUUGUCUCCGCUGGGGAAGCAAGGCUGACCAACCUGGAGUACAUGAUGGAAAGCCAGGAUGGACGUGUACACAGGGACCUGACUCGAGUGCCCCUCCCAACCCAGCUGUACAACUGGGCUGCCCCGGAGGUGAUCUUAGAGAAGGCAGCCACAGUGAAGUCGGACAUCUACAGCUUUUCGAUGAUCAUACAGGAGAUUUUAACAGAUAACAUACCCUGGAAUGGCUUAGAUGGCUCAGUUAUUAAAGAAGCCAUAGUCUUGGGAAAUUAUUUAGAAGCUGAUGUAAGGCUUCCAAAACCUUAUUAUGAUAUUGUUAAGUCAGGCAUCCAGGUCAAGCAGAAAGACCGAACUAUGAACCUUCAAGAUAUCCGGUACAUUUUGAAGAACGACUUAAAGGAUUUUCUCGGAGCCCAGAGAACUCAGCCAACUGAGAGCCCCAAGAUGCAGAGAUAUGAACUCCAUCCUGAUGUCAAUGUUUGUCUAGGACUGAUGUCAGAACAUUUGAAAGAGACCCCUAACUUGGAAAUAAAAGAGCUAAAGGAAACAGCAGGCAGUCGGCUUCAUUCACCCACGGAGAAAGCAACACCAGAUCCUCAGGUCCUAGAUCCAGGUCUGAUGGCCAAGGAGACUCAGAACCGAGAUGCUGCUUCUCCUGCCUGCUCUGUGAUGGAAGAGGACGCCAGGGGGCCCAGCCCAGGUCAGGCUAGCCUCUGCAGCUUUGAAAUCAAUGAAAUCUACUCAGGCUGCCUGGACAGGGGAGAUAACACGAAGGAGGAGCCCCCAGGAGCUGAUUCAUCUGUUGUGGGAGCUGGACCAAGCCAAGCAGAUGAACUAAAGUCCAUGGAGGAAGAGUUGGAAAAGAUGGAGAGAGAAGCAUGCUGUUUUUAUGAUGAGGACGAGAGCUCUUCAGAAGCUGACACAGAGCUCUCCUUUGAGGACUGGGAUUGGCAAAAUGGUUCUCUUAGUUCACCCAGCCUACCUGAGCUAGCCAGAGAAGCCAAGGGCAAUGGGAGCAAUAGGUGCAUGACCGAGGAGUACAUCAGUAAGUGUGUGCUGAAUCUGAAGAUUUCACAGACAUUAAUGUACCAGAAUGCCGAUUUGCUGAGGAAUACUGAACAGAGAAUUGAUAAACUUGAGAUGAUACAAAAGGGGCAGGAGGAGUACAGGUCUUUGUGGGCUUCUUCAAGAGAGUUUACAAACAUUUAUGACUCACCUUCAGCCUUGGGCCCCCCAGCUUCCACCUAUGUUCCACCUGUCAUGCAUCUGCCGAGAGGCCAGCAGCUGGACACCAGUGGCAAUUGCCAAACCCUGACAAGAUCUUCCAUGGUGAGAGACUUUCAAGGAGGACAUUUUGGCAAAAGGUCCAGGAAAAGAAGUGACUGUGGCUGGAAACCUGUCAUCCAAGUCUCUGAAGAAAGCACUGGGGAUCAGUCAGAGAAGAGCCAUCAGCUGCCAACUUUUAGUGGACCUGGAAAACAGGGCACAAGUGAACAAUCGCAGCCCUCUCAAGGAGCCAAGCACAGUUUGGAAAGAAACAGGAGCCCAAAUACCAGCAGCCAGGGAAGGUCUAAAGAGUCUAGUGCCCGAACCAAGUUGACUCAGCUUAAUAGUGUACUUUUCCCUGUGCCAAGCCACCUGAAGGGACCUCUGGUGUCAUCCAGCCCUGUCCAGGCCUCUGCUAGGAUCAGUGUGGAAUCUGUGUCUUCUGAAAUCUGUCAUACAAAGUUAAGAAAUAACGAAGAUGAUGGAGAGGUACACUUAAAAUGGAAAUUGGAGGUGAAAGAAAUGGCAGAGAGAGCAGCCACCGGGCAGCUGGCAGUACCACCAUGGCAUCCUCAGAGUAGUGCGACUUUAGAGGAUGAAGCUGACGAUGAGCCUGAUUCCCUGCUGCAGCCCCCGCUUGGGGACCCUGAGAAAGUGGGUUGGCAGUGCACUGUAGAGUAUCCCAGGGAAAAUGAUGAGUCAAGAGAAAAUGGCAAAUGUAACAAAAUGGGUAACAGUGACUGUGACAGUGACCAGUAUGGCAAACAGCCUGGACCUCAAAGCUUCAACAGUAUCAGGCACCUGUCUCCCAGCAAAAAUGUGUAUCCAGAGCAUAGUGAAGUCUUUCAAGCAAGUUCUGACGCAUCUGUGGUCAUUGAGAAAUCUUACAGUGAUCAGUCCAUGCAAUCAACUUGUUCACCAGAGUCUUCUGAGGAUGUAACAGAUGAAUUUUUAACUCCAGACUAUGAAUAUUUUCAUUCUUCAACUGCUCAAGAAAACUUAGCUCUAGAGACUUCAAGUCCUAUAGAAGAAGACUUUGGAGGAAUACGAGAUGCAUUUGCCCAACCUCGAGGUUCUGGCGAAGAAAAGUUCCAAAUGAGAAAAAGCCUUGGAAGGAAUGCUGAGAUUUUGACCAGGUCUCAAUUCCAACCUAUACGAACUACUGAAGGUGAACAAGAGGAGACAUUAAAGGAAUCACCAAAGGAGCUGAAAGAGAAGGACAUAUCACUGACAGACAUUCAAGACCUGUCUAGUAUUUCCUAUGAACAAGAUGGUUCCUUUAAGGAAGUCUCAUGCAAAACACCCAAAAUAAACCAUGCACCUACAAGUGUCAGCACUCCACUCAGCCCAGGGUCAAGUUCUUCAGCUGCCAGUCGGUAUAAAGACUGCCUUGAAAGUAUCACAUUUCAGAUUAAAACAGGUUCUACCUCAUGCUGGAACAGUCAGGAAUCCAUUCAAACUUCAUCCGAUAGAUUUACAACUGUUCGAGAGAAAGCAAAGAGCCUAGAUUCCUUUCUUACUUCCUCUGAAACUGCCCCUUCAAGACUGACCGAUCUCAAAAGAUUGCCUGCAUUUACUGGGGCCGGUUCCUCCAGCAUUGCUAAGUCACCUGACACAUCAUCCCAUGCCACCCAGAGAAGGAGCCUGCAGAAAGCAUUAGUAGAAGCCAUUUCACAGCAUCAUGUUGAUGAGCUACCACCACCAUCUCAGGAGCUGCUUGACGAAAUUGAGCACUUGAAGCGACAGCAGGCCUCAUCCACAGUGUUGCGGGAGAACACAGCAAGUUAUCUCAGUGUCACUGUAAAUGAUCAAAGGCACUUAGAAGAACAAGAAACUAACAGUAACAAAGAAGAUAGCAGUAUUCUCUGGACCAAAGAAACUCAGGAUCUAGAAGAGGACACAGAGAGAGCUCACUCUACUCUUGAUGAGGACCUAGAAAGAUGGCUACAGCCACCUGAGGACAGCACAGAGCUACAGGAUCUCCCCGGAGGCUCUACAAGGGAGGCAAAUACCAAGGAUCAAGAAGUUGGUGAAAAGAAGAGAAAAGGGGAAGAAAGCUUCAAGUCAGAGAGAAGGAAAUCAGACAGCUUUUUAGGCAAUUCUGAAGAAGCUCACACAGAGGCCGCAGAAUCUGAGAAGGAAUUAUAAACUGUGGAAUUUAAGUGGAAUCUACAAGUAAUGUGAAAGAGGAACUAAAACCCUGUUUUUGGAAGCGACUGGGUUGGUCUGAACCAUCCAGAAUAAUCGUGCUGGAUCAGAGUGACUUGUCAGACUGAUGGGAGUUGGAUCGUACAUGAACUCCUGGCCUGAGUUUGAGCAUCCUGCUUGUGAGCUCCCGUCUCUCCUCAUCUGCUUCAGUCACCAUCAGGGCAGUGAUUCUGUAGCUCACACUUUGUUCAGCUGCCACAAUAGACAGAACGGCUGGCCCUGUCUGCACCGCAGUUAACCAUCUGUUUUCAGUUCAGAUUUCUGAAAAGUGAAAGGUAGCUUUUAUUGUAAAAUUUUCUCAUUGUUCCCAGAAUGGCUUUGGUUUUGGUUUUGUUGGUACAGAUUUUUGAACACUUUAAUUCCUGUUAUAUAAUAAAAUGUUUACUUUUAAUACCAUUUAGGUUUUAGCUGUGUAAGAUAUUUCUGUGUUUUAGUUAUUGGGAGAGGAACUGCCACCCAAAGAGGCUUCAAUAUCUGUUAUAAAGUUUGACAGAUAAGCAAUGACUGCUACCACCUCUCAUAUAAGCCAGCACCAGUCAUCCAUAUUUUAGAACAGAAAUACUGCCCUCCUCUUGGCCAGGAUUGUCAUAUUCCCAUUCCAGCUAGAAUUUACUUACAUGAUGAAAGUACAGGUCGGAGUAAAAGUCCAAGAUAUUUUGAACCCUUUAAAGUGAAUAAACAUCAUUUCUGAGUAUUUUGGAUUAUAUACCUCACAUCAUUUGUGUUUUAGAGGAGUGAAAUUGUGGGAAGAUGAAGAUCACAGCGUUUUCUCUAAUUUAGCCUCUAGUGACUCCUGGGCAGAUGCAUACAUGUGUCUGGCAUGGUAUUUAGAGGAUUGAUAUACCUUCAUCUGCCUCAAGUUUGGAGCUUUUACAUGUGAAUAAAAACCUUUUCUUAGAAGUUAUGUGCUGCUGUGCAGUACUAGCCAGCUACCAGCUAACAUUUUAUUCUUAGCAAGUGAAUGAUAGGUCUUUUGUUUGUGAAAACUGGAUAGUUCCUGUUGAGGAUGGUCAUAUCAUCCAGUUUUUAUUAGCACCCCAGAAUUCUACCCUGCACAAAUAAAAUAGGAAGGUACAAAUCUAUUUGACUACUUUGAAACAAGGAAACAGUUGCUUGCCACUGUAACCAGAGCAAAACCAAAGCAAAUUACUUUACAAAUAAUACUGUGUAUAAGAAACUUGGGGGGAUACGGAGACUUGUAAUACAUAGUCCUUCCUCUUAAAAACUUUUAAUUGGUGCAACAAAACCAACAUACAUAGAAAUGUAAGGACUUUGUGUCCAGGACCCACAGGAAAAAAAAUGUAUGGAGUGAUAGACAUAUCAUGUUAAAUAGUGAGUUGUGAUAUUACAGCAUUAUCUAUUAGUAUUCAUAAAGGCUACAAGUCCUACAUAAACUCUCACUGAUGUGGUUUAUAAUCACUAAUAUUGGCCAACAUUAACAAUAAUAAUUAUUGGUAGAUAAUGUUUAUUGGUUAUGGAGUAACUGUUAGGUGCCAGGGUUCCAUGAUCUGCCCAAGACCAUACCGGAGCAAACAUGUUUGUAUACUUCACAGUAAAACAGAGUAGCUUUCCCUGAGGCUGUAGUUUGAGAGUGCCCUGCACACUCUUAGAAGUGAACCAAGAGCAAAUUUAAGUUAAAACUGAUGGUGAUAUAUCCUUUAUGAACUUAGUCCCCAUCCUCACAUCUGUCCGGUGGGUUUGGUGCUGAGUUUUUAGAGUAUACGGAGUCCUUCACUUUUCCUCAAUAUGUGGAAACAUAAUGAAUACAUAAACGGUUCUAGACACAUAGUAGAUGGCUAAUAAAUUAUUGUUGGCUCACUAUUGAAUGGAAUUUUCCCCUUGGAAAAUUUGAUUAUUAGAAAUUUCCAGAUUAGAUUUUAGUUGCUGUUGUUGUUGUUAUUGUUUUCAAAUACAUAGCUUUCGGCCCUUUUCUGGAUGCUAAUAGUACUGUUUUAUAGGUUGCUAUUAGAAGGGUGUUUUAGUUGUGCCUGGCUGCCUCACUCAGAGGAGCAUGUAACUUGAUCUCAUGCCCUAUGUUCAAGCCCUAUGUUUGGUUUAGAGAUUACUUACAUAAAUAAACUUAAAAAAAAAAAAAGUGGGUUUUAGAGAUGUGCCUCCCAAGAACUUAGAAAUAAGUUGGUCCUCUGGGAGUUAUAUAAGUAAAAAUUCAGUGUCCCACUGAAUAUGAUUAAUUGUAUAGUGGAGUAAAAUUAAAGGGCCUUCUAUAAAUGUGUGACUUAACAGAUAUUUGGAAAUAAUAUUGAAAAAAUAGAGUAAGGAGGAGGGAUGUGUCCUACCAGAUGUGAAAGCAUAGCAUAAGGCUGCAAUAAUUAACAGACUAUGGUAUUGACAUCAGAAUGGAAACCUGAUCCUUUAGUUCCAUCUCCACCCCUUUCAGUUGUUGUCAUGAAAUUACAUCUUUAUGUAAAGUGUGGCCAAAAAUAAAAGCUAAUAAUAUUUUUAAUGCA